AACGAACGCUAGCGGCAUGCCUAACACAUGCAAGUCGAACGAGACCUUCGGGUCUAGUGGCGCACGGGUGCGUAACGCGUGGGAACCUGCCCUUAGGUUCGGAAUAACUCCCCGAAUGGGGUGCUAAUACCGGAUAAUUUCUUCUGACCAAAGAUUUAUCGCCUUUGGAUGGGCCCGCGUUGGAUUAGCUAGUUGGUAGGGUAAAAGCCUACCAAGGCGACGAUCCAUAGCUGGUCUGAGAGGAUGAUAAGCCACACUGGGACUGAGACACGGCCCAGACUACUACGGGAGGCAGCAGUGGGGAAUAUUGGAAAAUGGGCGAAAGCAUGAUCAAGCAAUGCCGCGUGAGUGAUGAAGGCCUUAGGGUUGUAAAGCUCUUUUACCCGGGAUGAUAAUGACAGUACCGGGAGAAUAAGCACCGGCUAACUCCGUG
rnacentral:rRNA from 1 species